rnacentral:rRNA from 1 species
UACGGGGGGGCAAGCGUUGUUCGGAAUUACUGGGCGUAAAGGGCUCGUAGGCGGCCAACUAAGUCGGACGUGAAAUCCCCAGGCUCAACCUGGGAACUGCGUCUGAUACUGGAUGGCUUGAGUUUGGGAGAGGGAUGCGGAAUUCCAGGUGUAGCGGUGAAAUGCGUAGAUAUCUGGAGGAACACCGGUGGCGAAGGCGGCAUCCUGGACCAACACUGACACUGAGGAGCGAAAGCCAGGGGAGCAAACGGG